rnacentral:rRNA from 1 species
GACGAACGCUGGCGGCGUGCUUAACACAUGCCAGUCGAACGGAAAGGCCCUGCUUUUGUGGGGUGCUCGAGUGGCGAACGGGUGAGUAACACGUGAGUAACCUGCCCUUGACUUUGGGAUAACUUCAGGAAACUGGGGCUAAUACCGGAUAGGAGCUCCUGCUGCAUGGUGGGGGUUGGAAAGUUUCGGCGGUUGGGGAUGGACUCGCGGGUUAUCAGCUUGUUGGUGGGGUAGUGGAUUACCAAGGCUUUGACGGGUAGCCGGCCUGAGAGGGUGACCGGCCACAAGGGGACUGAGAUACGGCCCAGAAGCCUACGGGACGCAGCAGGGGGGAACAUUGCAGAGUGGGGGGAAGUCAGAGGCAGCAACCCUGCGUGCGUGAUGCCGGCCUUCGGGUGGAAAACCGCUUUCGACUGAGACGAACCGGGAGUGACGGUAAUGGGUAAAGAAGCAACGGCUAACUACGUG